UGGGGAAUAUUGCACAAUGGGCGAAAGCCUGAUGCAGCAACGCCGCGUGAGUGAUGAAGGUCUUCGGAUUGUAAAGCUCUGUCUUUUGGGACGAUAAUGACGGUACCAAAGGAGGAAGCCACGGCUAACUACGUGCCAGCAGCCGCGGUAAUACGUAGGUGGCGAGCAUUGUCCGGAUUUACUGGGCGUAAAGGGUGCGUAGGCGGAUGUUUAAGUGAGAUGUGAAAUACCCGGGCUUAACUUGGGUGCUGCAUUUCAAACUGGAUAUCUAGAGUGCAGGAGAGGAGAAUGGAAUUCCUAGUGUAGCGGUGAAAUGCGUAGAGAUUAGGAAGAACACCAGUGGCGAAGGCGAUUCUCUGGACUGUAACUGACGCUGAGGCACGAAGC
rnacentral:rRNA from 1 species